GGGCAAGCUACUGAAGGCAUACGGUGGAUGCCUUGGCGCCAGGAGCCGAAGAAGGACGUGGGAGCCUGCGAUAAGCCUCGGGGAGCCGGCAACCAGGCAGAGAUCCGGGGAUUUCCGAAUGGGGAAACCCGGCGGACGUCACGGUCCGUCACCCCUGCCCGAACACAUAGGGCAGCGGGAGGAAACGCGGGAAAGUGAAACAUCUCAGUACCCGCAGGAAGAGAAAGCAACCGCGAUCCCCUGAGUAGUGGUGAGCGAAACGGGGACCAGGCCAAACCGGCCGCGUGGAGAAGCCGGCAGGCGUUGCGUGGCCGGGGUCGCGGGACCGCCCGGCCGGAGCUGCCGCUCCGGCGGGGAGUGACAAACCGUGGAGGUCAGCCGAAGGGCCUGGAACGGCCCGGCAUAGCGGGUAACACCCCCGUAGGCGAAGACCCCACGGCUCCCGGGCGGGAUCCCAAGUAGCACGGGGCCCGGGAAAUCCCGUGUGAAUCCGGGAGGACCGCCUCCCAAGCCUGAACACUCCCUGGCGACCGAUAGCGAACCAGUACCGUGAGGGAAAGGUGAAAAGCACCCCGGUGAGGGGGAUGAAAGAGAGCCUGAAACCGUGUGCCUACAAGCCGUGGAAGCGGCGUCCGGACCUUCGGGCCCGGAUGGCGUGACCGCGUGCCUUUUGAAGAAUGAGCCUGCGAGUUGCGGUGUGUGGCAAGGUUAACCCGCGAGGGGUAGCCGCAGCGAAAGCGAGUCGAGUAAGGGCGCCCUAGUCGCAUGUCGCAGACCCGAAACGAAGUGAUCUACCCAUGGGCAGAGCGAAGCGCGGGUAAGACCGCGUGGAGGCUCGAACCCACCAGGGUUGAAAACCUGGGGGAUGACCUGUGGGUAGGGGUGAAAGGCCAAUCAAACUUCGUGAUAGCUGGUUCUCCCCGAAAUGCGUUUACGCGCAGCGUCGCGCAGUGGCGUCCGGGGGUAGAGCACUGGACGGCCCAGGGGGCCUAACAGCUUACCGACGCCGACUAAACUCCGAAUACCGGAACGCUGAAGCGCGGCAGUGAGACUGUGGGGGAUAAGCUCCAUGGUCGAGAGGGAAACAGCCCAGACCACCGGCCAAGGCCCCUAAACGUACGCUGAGUGGGUAAGGAUGUGGAGCGGCCCAGACAACCAGGAGGUUGGCUUAGAAGCAGCCAUCCUUCAAAGAGUGCGUAAUAGCUCACUGGUCGAGUUGCUCUGCGCCUAUAAUUCAGCGGGGCUUAAAGCGUACUGCCGAAGCCGUGGCGCCCGCGUACAGCGCGGGCGGGUAGGGGAGCGUCGCGUGGCGAGUGAAGCGGCGGGGUGACCCAGCCGUGGACGCCAUGCGAGUGAGAAUGCAGGCAUGAGUAGCGAAAGAGGGGUGAGAAACCCCUCCGCCGAAUGACCAAGGGUUCCAGGGGCAGGCUAAUCCUCCCUGGGUAAGUCGGGACCUAAGGCGAGGCCGACAGGCGUAGUCGAUGGAUAACGGGUUGAUAUUCCCGUACCCGUUGCGGUGCGUUUCCCGAAAGGGAUGAAGUGACGGGGUGACGCAGCAGGUCAGCCCAGCCCGGGCGGUGGUUGACCCGGGGUAAGGGUGUAGGGCGGUGCGCAGGAAAAUCCGCGCAUCAUCAAGCCCGAGACCUGAUGCCGAGCCGUUUUAGGCGAAGUGGGUGUCCCUGCUGCCGAGAAAAGCCUCUGGCGAGCACCGUGGCGGCCCGUACCCUAAACCGACACAGGUGGUCGGGUUGAGUAUACUAAGGCGAUCGGGUAAACCAUGGUUAAGGAAUUCGGCAAACAGACCCCGUAACUUCGGGAGAAGGGGUGCCGGGUGGGGUGAUCACCCUUGCGGUGUGAGCUCUGUCCGGCCGCAGGACCAGGCCCGAGCGACUGUUUACUAAAAACACAGGUCCGUGCGAAGUCGAAAGACGCGGUAUACGGACUGACGCCUGCCCGGUGCCGGAACGUUACGAGGACCGGUUAGCCCCUUAGGGGGUGAAGCUGGGAAUCUAAGCGCCGGUAAACGGCGGUGGUAACUAUAACCAUCCUAAGGUAGCGAAAUUCCUUGUCGGGUAAGUUCCGACCUGCACGAAUGGCGUAACGACUUGGGCGCUGUCUCAACCAUGGGCCCGGCGAAAUUGCACUGUGAGUAAAGAUGCUCGCUACGCGCGGUAGGACGGAAAGACCCCGGGACCUUCACUGCAGCUUGGUAUUGGUGUCUGGUACGGCCUGUGUAGGAUAAGUGGGAGGCUGCGAAAUCGGGACGCCAGUCCCGGUGGAGCCAUUGGUGAAAUACCACUCUGGUCGUGCCGGGCGUCUAACCCAGACCCGUAAUCCGGGUCGGGGACAGUGCCUGGUGGGCAGUUUAACUGGGGCGGUUGCCUCCUAAAGAGUAACGGAGGCGCCCAAAGGCUCCCUCAACCUGGUUGGAGAUCAGGUGCCGAGUGUAAGUGCACAAGGGAGCUUGACUGCGAGACGUACCAGUCGAGCAGGUGUGAAAGCAGGGACUAGUGAUCCGGCAUCCCCGUGCGGAAGGGAUGUCGCUCAACGGCUAAAAGGUACCCCGGGGAUAACAGGCUAAUCUUCCCCAAGAGUCCGUAUCGACGGGAUGGUUUGGCACCUCGAUGUCGGCUCGUCGCAUCCUGGGGCUGUAGUUGGUCCCAAGGGUUGGGCUGUUCGCCCAUUAAAGCGGCACGCGAGCUGGGUUUAGAACGUCGUGAGACAGUUCGGUCCCUAUCCACCGCGCGCGUAGGAGACUUGCGGAGGUCUAUCCCUAGUACGAGAGGACCGGGACGGACGGACCUCUGGUGUGCCAGUUGUCCUGCCAAGGGCACGGCUGGUUAGCUACGUCCGGCUGGGAUAACCGCUGAAUGCAUCUAAGCGGGAAGCCCGCUCCUAGAUGAGGUCUCCCACGGGGACAACCCGGUAAGGCCCCCAGUAAGAACACUGGGUUGAUAGGCCGGAGGUGGAAGCCCCGCGAGGGGUGCAGCCGACCGGUACUAAUCGGCCGAGGGCUUGCCCAC
rnacentral:rRNA from 1 species